UACGGGGGGGGUAAGCGUUGUUCGGAAUUACUGGGCGUAAAGGGCUCGUAGGCGGCCAACUAAGUCAUACGUGAAAUCCCUCAGCUUAACUGGGGAACUGCGUGUGAUACUGGAUGGCUUGGAUUUGGGAGAGGGAUGCGGAAUUCCAGGUGUAGCGGUGAAAUGCGUAGAUAUCGGAAAGAACACCAACGGCGAAGGCACUCUGCUGGGCCGACACUGACACUGAGAGACGAAAGCUAGGGGAGCAAAUGGG
rnacentral:rRNA from 1 species